rnacentral:lncRNA from 1 species
AGCCCUGCCCCCUUUACUUACUCGCCACCUCCUCCGAGAAAAAGAAGCAAAAAGAGAGAAGGAGCUAAAGCUGAGAAAAGCAGGUCUUCUACGUCUGGCGUUUGGAGCACAGGGAGACAGGAAGUGAAAGAUGGUUGUAUUUGCCUGUGCUGGCUGCAGGGCAGCUGUCUUCCUCUGGAUUUUCAGCAGCAUCAGUUGCAGAGCCAGGACUUCUCUGCCUGCUCGAGUCCUGUGAAGAAUAUUGUCUUCAGAAAACAAGAAAGGAAGAAACGAAGAAAGAUAUCACAACCCUCAAUAAAAUACAGAUACGUAGAAGAGCCUUUAUUUGUGGAUAGAUCUAUAGGAGACUGUUUGGUCUUUAUGUCAUUUUUAAUGAUGCAAACCAAAGAUAAAAUGCAACUGGUUUAAGUCUGUGUUAGAUAUGUCUCAGUACAAGAAUGAAACAUGGAUAGUCAUUAAUCCAGUGGAAAAUUUCUCGAUUUCAGUGGGUCCAGGAUAUUAGUCAGGAUGUAUUUUCCCCAGCAUGCAAGAAUUAAGUGUUAUUCGGUAUAUUUUUCAUUUUCAUAAGCACUGCUGUAAAUUCAUAAGUAAAAGAAAGUGAAAGGCUUCCUUAUAGAAAAUUAUAAUAUUCUAUUUUAGUACAUUCUUUAAGAACACAGAACCAGGAGAACAAUAUGUAUUCACAUGGAAAGUUAAAUAAAGUGUUAUAAAAAUGCA